GAGAGUUUAUAAGAUAAAUUUUGCAGCUGUGCCUCAACACUUUCCUUAAAAGUGAAAAAUUGUGAUUCAAGUUUGGCUAGAUUUCCAUCAGUGUGUCGGUUAGAUGGAGUAGACAUGUCCGUCGGUUGGGCAAAAUCAGGCAGCCCAAAAGCACUACAAAAUGACCUGUCGAUAAAGCCCUCAAGUUCCUUUAUAGUAGAAGCAUCAGAGCUUGUUAGUAUAUCAUCGAUUUUGGAUAUAUUAAAUAUAGCAUCUGUCUGAGAUAUAUUACUUAAGUCAUCGAUAUUAGACAAGUUAGUUAAAUUCUCUGCGUUAGGUGUAAUAGUUCUUUCAACGGACGCAGUUACAGCGCAAGCC